UUAAGUUAUUAAGGGCGCACGGUGGAUGCCUUGGCACUAGAAGCCGAUGAAGGACGUUACUAACGACGAUAUGCUUUGGGGAGCUGUAAGUAAGCUUUGAUCCAGAGAUUUCCGAAUGGGGAAACCCAGCAUGAGUUAUGUCAUGUUAUCGAUAUGUGAAUACAUAGCAUAUCAGAAGGCACACCCGGAGAACUGAAACAUCUUAGUACCCGGAGGAAGAGAAAGAAAAUUCGAUUCCCUUAGUAGCGGCGAGCGAAACGGGAAGAGCCCAAACCAACAAGCUUGCUUGUUGGGGUUGUAGGACACUCUAUACGGAGUUACAAAGGACGACAUUAGACGAAUCAUCUGGAAAGAUGAAUCAAAGAAGGUAAUAAUCCUGUAGUCGAAAAUGUUGUCUCUCUUGAGUGGAUCCUGAGUACGACGGAGCACGUGAAAUUCCGUCGGAAUCUGGGAGGACCAUCUCCUAAGGCUAAAUACUCUCUAGUGACCGAUAGUGAACCAGUACCGUGAGGGAAAGGUGAAAAGCACCCCGGAAGGGGAGUGAAAUAGAACCUGAAACCGUGUGCUUACAAGUAGUCAGAGCCCGUUAAUGGGUGAUGGCGUGCCUUUUGUAGAAUGAACCGGCGAGUUACGAUUUGAUGCAAGGUUAAGCAGUAAAUGUGGAGCCGUAGCGAAAGCGAGUCUGAAUAGGGCGUUUAGUAUUUGGUCGUAGACCCGAAACCAGGUGAUCUACCCUUGGUCAGGUUGAAGUUCAGGUAACACUGAAUGGAGGACCGAACCGACUUACGUUGAAAAGUGAGCGGAUGAACUGAGGGUAGCGGAGAAAUUCCAAUCGAACCUGGAGAUAGCUGGUUCUCUCCGAAAUAGCUUUAGGGCUAGCCUCAAGUGAUGAUUAUUGGAGGUAGAGCACUGUUUGGACGAGGGGCCCCUCUCGGGUUACCGAAUUCAGACAAACUCCGAAUGCCAAUUAAUUUAACUUGGGAGUCAGAACAUGGGUGAUAAGGUCCGUGUUCGAAAGGGAAACAGCCCAGACCACCAGCUAAGGUCCCAAAAUAUAUGUUAAGUGGAAAAGGAUGUGGCGUUGCCCAGACAACUAGGAUGUUGGCUUAGAAGCAGCCAUCAUUUAAAGAGUGCGUAAUAGCUCACUAGUCGAGUGACACUGCGCCGAAAAUGUACCGGGGCUAAACAUAUUACCGAAGCUGUGGAUUGUCCUUUGGACAAUGGUAGGAGAGCGUUCUAAGGGCGUUGAAGCAUGAUCGUAAGGACAUGUGGAGCGCUUAGAAGUGAGAAUGCCGGUGUGAGUAGCGAAAGACGGGUGAGAAUCCCGUCCACCGAUUGACUAAGGUUUCCAGAGGAAGGCUCGUCCGCUCUGGGUUAGUCGGGUCCUAAGCUGAGGCCGACAGGCGUAGGCGAUGGAUAACAGGUUGAUAUUCCUGUACCACCUAUAAUCGUUUUAAUCGAUGGGGGGACGCAGUAGGAUAGGCGAAGCGUGCGAUUGGAUUGCACGUCUAAGCAGUAAGGCUGAGUAUUAGGCAAAUCCGGUACUCGUUAAGGCUGAGCUGUGAUGGGGAGAAGACAUUGUGUCUUCGAGUCGUUGAUUUCACACUGCCGAGAAAAGCCUCUAGAUAGAAAAUAGGUGCCCGUACCGCAAACCGACACAGGUAGUCAAGAUGAGAAUUCUAAGGUGAGCGAGCGAACUCUCGUUAAGGAACUCGGCAAAAUGACCCCGUAACUUCGGGAGAAGGGGUGCUCUUUAGGGUUAACGCCCAGAAGAGCCGCAGUGAAUAGGCCCAAGCGACUGUUUAUCAAAAACACAGGUCUCUGCUAAACCGUAAGGUGAUGUAUAGGGGCUGACGCCUGCCCGGUGCUGGAAGGUUAAGAGGAGUGGUUAGCUUCUGCGAAGCUACGAAUCGAAGCCCCAGUAAACGGCGGCCGUAACUAUAACGGUCCUAAGGUAGCGAAAUUCCUUGUCGGGUAAGUUCCGACCCGCACGAAAGGCGUAACGAUUUGGGCACUGUCUCAACGAGAGACUCGGUGAAAUCAUAGUACCUGUGAAGAUGCAGGUUACCCGCGACAGGACGGAAAGACCCCGUGGAGCUUUACUGUAGCCUGAUAUUGAAAUUCGGCACAGCUUGUACAGGAUAGGUAGGAGCCUUUGAAACGUGAGCGCUAGCUUACGUGGAGGCGCUGGUGGGAUACUACCCUAGCUGUGUUGGCUUUC
rnacentral:rRNA from 1 species